ACAAAUGAGAUUAGGCUCCGCCUACCGCGAUCAUUUGAAGACAAAAAUAAGCCCUCAUUGACAUUCAUGAGCAUGAAGAUAUUCAUAAUCCGGCCUUUUCAUUGGCUAAGAGCGUCAUUAAUACGCGAUUUCCCCGAUUCUUUGUCAUCGAUACUAGUGGUAUCGUGUUACAGAAAUAAUUAUUCAUUUGACCUCAUUACGUCAUCUAAUUUAUUCAUUCUGAAACUUUUCUUUCCACACACAAAAUGGACCUACGAACACUCCGGUUGAGUUUGAAGAACAAGAAAAAACAGUAGAGGUCUACCUAUAUGGUUCAAGAUGAUGAUCAUAUAAGUGCAUGUAUCAUUUUGCAGAUUCUCAUCCAGGAUGAUGCAGUUUUACAAUUUCCAUGGAGGUGAUUGAUGAUAAUAAAUAAUCGGUGAAGUAGGCCUAAUAGAACAGCGACUAGACCACAAAGAAAAAUACAACCUACAGCAGUUAUAUGAGACUGGUGUAACAGAUGUUUUCAUUCAAGAAAUCCAACAAUUCAACAUUGAAGAGUCUGACUUAGGAACCACUUGAUGAAGAUGGAAAAGGUUUUUUUUUUUCCAAGUCCAAUUUUUCACACACAAAAAAAUUAUUAUCACAACCCCAAAUUCAUGACGUAUGAAAUUUCUUGUUGAUUUUCAUUAAAACUGGUUGCAAAAGGAGAAGCUAUAAACAUACAAAUAGGAGCGGCGGAGUGAAGUUG